rnacentral:misc_RNA from 1 species
UCCGAGUUGACCCCGGCAGUCUCCCACGAGUCCCCGCCAUUACCCGCUGGCAACAUAGAACGAGGGUUGCGCUCGUUGCGGGACUUAACCCAACAUCUCACGACACGAGCUGACGACAGCCAUGCACCACCUGUCAUGGGCCCUUUCGGACACCGUAUCUCUACGGCUUUUCCCAUGAUGUCAAACCCAGGUAAGGUUCUUCGGGUCGCAUCGAAUUAAGCCGCAUGCUCCGCCGCUUGUGCGGGGACCCGUCAAUUCCUUUGAGUUUUAGCCUUGCGGCCGUACUCCCCAGGCGGGGUACUUAAUGCGUUAGCUGCGGCACGGAGACCGUCGAUAGGUCCCCACACCUAGUACCCAACGUUUACGGCGUGGACUAC